UACGUAGGGGGCAAGCGUUGUCCGGAAUCAUUGGGCGUAAAGCGCGUGUAGGCGGCUCGGUAAGUCUGCUGUGAAAGUCCAGGGCUCAACCCUGGGAUGCCGGUGGAUACUGUCGAGCUCGAGUCCGGAAGAGGCGAGUGGAAUUCCAGGUGUAGCGGUGAAAUGCGUAGAUAUCUGGAGGAACACCGGUGGCGAAGGCGGUUCUCUGGGACGGUACUGACGCUGAGACGCGAAAGCGUGGGGAGCGAACAGG
rnacentral:rRNA from 1 species